GACCGCUUCCCCCUCCCGACAGGGUGGAGCUCAGCCCAUACGGACAGGCGGGUCGAAAGCCGA
rnacentral:sRNA from 1 species